rnacentral:rRNA from 1 species
AGCGAACGCUGGCGGCAGGCCUAACACAUGCAAGUCGAACGAACCCUUCGGGGUUAGUGGCGGACGGGUGAGUAACACGUGGGAACGUGCCUUUAGGUUCGGAAUAACUCAGGGAAACUUGUGCUAAUACCGAAUGUGCCCUUCGGGGGAAAGAUUUAUCGCCUUUAGAGCGGCCCGCGUCUGAUUAGCUAGUUGGUGAGGUAAAGGCUCACCAAGGCUACGAUCAGUAGCUGGUCUGAGAGGAUGACCAGCCACAUUGGGACUGAGACACGGCCCAAACUCCUACGGGAGGCAGCGGUGGGGAAGCUUGCGCAAUGGGCGAAAGCCUGACGCAGCCAUGCCGCGUGGAUGAUGAAGGUCUUAGGAUUGUAAAAUCCUUUCACCGGUGAAGAUAAUGACUGUAGCCGGAGAAGAAGCCCCGGCUAACUUCGUGCCAGCCGCCGCCGUAAAAC